GAUGAACGCUAGCUACAGGCUUAACACAUGCAAGUCGAGGGGAAACGACAUCGAAAGCUUGCUUUCGAUGGGCGUCGACCGGCGCACGGGUGAGUAACGCGUAUCCAACCUGCCCACCACUUGGGGAUAACCUUGCGAAAGUAAGACUAAUACCCAAUGAUAUCUCUAGAAGACAUCUUAAAGAGAUUAAAGAUUUAUCGGUGAUGGAUGGGGAUGCGUCUGAUUAGCUUGUUGGCGGGGUAACGGCCCACCAAGGCUACGAUCAGUAGGGGUUCUGAGAGGAAGGUCCCCCACAUUGGAACUGAGACACGGUCCAAACUCCUACGGGAGGCAGCAGUGAGGAAUAUUGGUCAAUGGACGAGAGUCUGAACCAGCCAAGUAGCGUGCAGGAUGACGGCCCUAUGGGUUGUAAACUGCUUUUAUAAGGGAAUAAAGUGAGUCUCGUGAGACUUUUUGCAUGUACCUUAUGAAUAAGGACCGGCUAAUUCCGUGCCAGCCGCCGCAGUAA
rnacentral:rRNA from 1 species